UUUAUUGAUUGAAAAAUCCGUGUGGGAGAUGAGAAGGCCCUCUGACAGGAAGGCUGGUGGCAUGUGUCUGGUGACUUUUCUAUAAACUGCCUGAAGAAUUUUACUGAAGAGCAAAGGACAGCUUCAGUUGAAUAGAUUUCCCAAGAGCUUAAUUCUUCACCGAUCCAGUGUUUCUGACCCUUGACAGUCCGCAUGAAUACUGCAGGCGUAUUGGAGGGUAAGCCCUGAAGUAUUGAGCAACAUCUAAUAGUACCAUGACUGCUGUAUCUGAUAGGACUGGAAGACUUCCUUCAUCACUCUCCGCUCAGGAAGUCUGUGUUCACAGAUCACUGCUUGCCUGCUGAAAUUGCCAUUGUCUCUACCGUAUCCUCCAGAGAGGACACUGCUUUUUCCUGAGUUACUUCCAGAAUACAGACUAGUUCUUCAACUGCCACAAACACAUGUACUUUCAAAAGACUGUGCAUCGUGUUCAGACUUCAGACCCCUUGGAGACUAAGCACUUGAGCAAAUCUCUUCGAUAGCAAGCUAAGUCAAUGGUGUUGGCGGUGGAAGGACCACCAAGUGGAGUUCUUAGAAAGACUGCAGUGUGGACGCGGGGAAGCACUACACAAGAGAUGCAAAUGAAGUUGUCUGAGGGAGCAAAGGACUACUUCUUAACUGGGGAAACCGAGACCUCCAGAGAGAGCGUUGCGGUUGAAUUGAGCCCUA